UACGAAGGGGGCUAGCGUUGCUCGGAAUCACUAGGCGUAAAGGGUGCGUAGGCGGGCCUUUAAGUCAGGGGUGAAAUCCUGGAGCUCAACUCCAGAACUGCCUUUGAUACUGAGGAUCUUGAGUUCGGGAGAGGUGAGUGGAACUGCGAGUGUAGAGGUGAAAUUCGUAGAUAUUCGCAAGAACACCAGUGGCGAAGGCGGCUCACUGGCCCGAUACUGACGCUGAGGCACGAAAGCGUAGGGAGCAAACAGG
rnacentral:rRNA from 1 species